GACAUUCCAUUAAGAGGAGGGAACUUAGCAGAUCAGGACACUAAGUCACUGAACCAGAGUUCAGUGUGUCUACAUAAAAUCUAGGUAGGGAGUGGUAAAAGUUGAAGUUACAGAGGCAGGCAGAGGUCAGUGAUGGACGUCUCACUUAGGAAUCUGGACUUUAUCCAACAGCAGCAUGUGACCACUGGAGAGAAAGCAGCCAGUUUUCUAUCAGACAUUGGUUUUUCUAGCAGAGGGCAAAUAAUAAUUGGAGUGGUGCAGGACUGAAAGAGAAAAAGCACGGAGCCCUCCCCGCUCAGACGACGGGCCCCGGGAGUUUCCUACUCCCAGGCCACUCCGCACUCAGCCUCCAGCAGUUUACCAAAAUCACCAUGAAGUGCUCCUGCAGGCAUAUGGCCCCAGCGCCUUCUGUCCAGCUAAGGAGGUCUUGGCUGUGACUCUCUGCCUCUGCCUGCCUCUCCAGGUCACGGGAUGGAGCUGUGCCUGUGACCUCAGUCUCUGAUGAGCACAAGUUUCUGGACGUCACCUGCAUUCCUUGUUCAUGGAUCCUUCCUCUGUAUGCAAAGCAAGAAAUGGAGCAUCUUCAACUCUUUCUCUGAUCGUUACUCUCCUGCCUCCCUCUCUGACUUGUAAGUACCCUUACGACGGCAUCGAGUCCACCAGAAAAUCCACACACCAGAAAGGUCCCUGCAGCCGUGUAUGGGGAGCUAUUCUCAGGGGCUGGUGACGAGGACACGGGCCUCUUCAGCAGGUGUUAUUCUGCUUAUCACAGGCGCCACUGGUCAGGAGGCAACAAUUGGAUUUACCCUUUGAUCUACUCAAGGGAGUGUGGGGAGAGAAGCAGACUCUCUCCUCUGUUUUCCAUCUUCUUUUUCCCCUAUUCCCUCUUCCCUUGCGUUUCUCAGCAUCAGGGGUAAGUCUCUUGCCCUGCUCCGUUUUCCUCAACUUGAAAGUUUUCUGCAUACUGGAAGUCUAUGAUCAGACUUGCACAAGAAAUGAAAUGAACAGUAACAGCUGGCCAGGACUGGUGUGAGUGCUGUCAGGACAAGUUAGCUCUCCUUUCAUGUAAAAAUACCCAAGGGCAGGGCUCCCCAUCGGUGUCCCAGAAAAGGUGACAUGACCACUCUGUUUUCGUGACCUUGGACAGCGCAGUGGCCUGAAGGACAUGGUAGUAAAAACUGAGUAACCAUGGGAGAAGCUAUCAGGACGGAGAGAGAACACCUUUCACCUUCCCAGGGCAGAGACUGCAGCUUCUUUUUAAAAACUCCUUCUCAAACAUCUGAGCUGCCUUCUUAAAGUCCUCCUUAAAAACCCCAUUCACUUUGUUAGGAAAACGAAGGAGGAAAGAUGGGAGGCAGCAGGGCCUAGAUUCCAAGGACUCUUCCCAUACCUCUGUGAGCACAGGGCUAUGAAAUGACAGCUGUGUUCCGUGAGGAAUGAUGCAAUUAUUCACUUUGGUUUCAGUUUUCUUAUGAGUAAAAAGUUAGGAGCCUGGAUAGAGGGUUUCUAUGCUUAUGAGUUUCCCUGUUUUGUGAAUCUGGUUCUAAAUAGGUUGAUCCAGGCAGCCCCAGAGUUCCCCCAGGCUCCCCCUGCAGAACAGUGAUUUCUCCGUUCUUAAGCAACUUUUCUAGAUGAAGGACUCUUUGAUUGCCCGUUAGUAGUUGGGGUCCGUCCUGUCUUAUCUUGGGCCACCUGUGAUAGUCCAAGAAUGUCAGUUUGCCAUGUGGUUGCUGAUUCAACUUUAAAGCUUGUAGAACUACCUGGAAAAGAAUCAACCUUUGGGUUUUUUCUCCUAUAGCUUUGUAGCAAAUAUGAAUGACUUUACAAGUAAUUAUGUCAUCAUUUCCUUCUCUCAUUUCUUUUUAAAUAAACUGUUCUGAUUAUAAAUUACUACAUGUUCAUUGUUGAAAACAUGGAGAAUACAGAAAAUUGUAUUGUCUACAGUAUUUAAUACACAAAUAAAAAUUGUUAGUAAUCCCA